GUGUGAGGGAGGAAGAAAACCUGAAAAAGACCCCAAAGAAGAAGAUGAAAAUGGUAACUGGAGCCGUAGCGUCGGUGCUGGAAGACGAGGCCACAGACACUUCUGAUAGCGAAGGAAGCUGUGGAUCGGAAAAGGACCACUUUUAUUCUGAUGAUGACGCAAUAGAAGCUGACAGUGAGGGUGAUGCUGAGCCCUGUGACAAAGAAAAUGAAAAUGAUGGAGAAUCAAGUGUUGGGACUAAUAUGGGCUGGGCAGAUGCCAUGGCUAAAGUCCUCAACAAGAAAACUCCUGAAAGUAAACCUACUAUUCUGGUCAAAAAUAAGAAGCUGGAAAAGGAAAAAGAAAAGUUAAAGCAAGAAAGACUAGAGAAAAUAAAACAGGUGUGUUCCACCAGUUGUCUUGUAGAUUAGAUUGUUUGUCUAGGCUAGCUCUUAUCUUGACCGAACUGUUUCUUGCAGUGUUUGACCAAUUAACGUUCCAGUUUUUAACUUG
rnacentral:sRNA from 1 species